AGGAGACGAGGAGGAAGAGACAAACACUUGCAAGGUAUCCCUCUGGACUCGUGCAGGGAGCGUAAUCCAGACCUUUCAGGAGCACUCUCCCGCUGAGCCACCUUGCAAUGGAGUCGAUUCCUGUAGAUCUUUUGGGGGCUCGCGAACUGGGUAUAACAUUUGGAGGUCCCACCGAGAUUCAAGGCCCCCCCAAGACCUCAGGACUGAUCCGGAGGGUCUCAUACCAG